AAGGGAGACCUAAUUCAGGUAUGGGACGAAAAAAAAGUAGUCGCUACCAAGAAUCAAUCCCAAAAGGUCGGAACGAGGUGUGUGGCUUUCAAACUAGGUUCUGGGUUCAUAAAAGACCUGAAUCAGGAACAAGGGCUAUUAGCUCAGGUGGUUAGAGCGCACCCCUGAUAAGGGUGAGGUCCCUGGUUCGAGUCCAGGAUGGCCCACCUGCACAGGUGGCAAAAACAAGAGAAGCGAGGAAUCAGCACCUUAUCUUACUGACAUAGUAAGAGAGAAUGCUGGCUCUGAGUAAAGAGUCCAGAGGAACCUUGAAAACUGCAUAGAGCUAGGUGAAAAAGCCAAAAAAGAAGACCGCAA
rnacentral:tRNA from 1 species